AGUGAACGCUGGCGGUAGGCCUAAAACAUGCAAGUCGAACGGCAGCACAGUAAGAGCUUGCUCUUACGGGUGGCGAGUGGCGGACGGGGGAGGAAUACAUCGGAAUUUACUUUUUCGUGGGGGAUAACGUAGGGAAACUUACGCUAAUACCGCCUACGACCUACGGGUGAAAGCAGGGGAUCUUCGGACCUUGCGCGAUUGAAUUAGCCGAUGUCGGAUUAGCUAGUUGGCGGGGUAAAGGCCCACCAAGGCGACGAUCCGUAGCUGGUCUGAGAGGAUGAUCAGCCACACUGGAACUGAGACACGGUCCAGACUCCUACGGGAGGCAGCAGUGGGGAAUAUUGGACAAUGGGCGCAAGCCUGAUCCAGCCAUACCGCGUGGGUGAAGAAGGCCUUCGGGUUGUAAAGCCCUUUUGUUGGGAAAGAAAAGCAGCAGGUUAAUACCCCGCUGUUCUGACGGUACCCAAAGAAUAAGCACCGGCUAACUUCGUG
rnacentral:rRNA from 1 species